CCUACGGGGAAGCAGCAGUAGGGAAUCUUCCACAAUGGACGAAAGUCUGAUGGAGCAACGCCGCGUGAACGAUGAAGGCUUUCGGGUCGUAAAGUUCUGUUGUAAGGGAAGAACAAGUGCCGCAGGCAAUGGCGGCACCUUGACGGUACCUUGCGAGAAAGCCACGGCUAACUACGUGCCAGCAGCCGCGGUAAUACGUAGGUGGCAAGCGUUGUCCGGAAUUAUUGGGCGUAAAGCGCGCGCAGGCGGCCUCUUAAGUUUGAUGUGAAAGCCCCCGGCUCAACCGGGGAGGGCCAUUGGAAACUGGGAGGCUUGAGUAUAGGAGAGAAGAGUGGAAUUCCACGUGUAGCGGUGAAAUGCGUAGAGAUGUGGAGGAACACCAGUGGCGAAGGCGACUCUUUGGCCUAUAACUGACGCUGAGGCGCGAAAGCGUGGGGAGCAAACAGGAUUAGAUACCCUGGUAGUCCACGCCGUAAACGAUGAGUGCUAGGUGUUGGAGGGUUUCCGCCCUUCAGUGCUGAAGCUAACGCAUAAGCACUCCGCCUGGCAGACUCACUAACCUU
rnacentral:rRNA from 1 species